UCCUACGGGGGGCAGCAGUGAGGAAUAUUGGUCAAUGGGCGGAAGCCUGAACCAGCCAAGUCGCGUGAGGGAAUAAGGCCCUACGGGUCGUAAACCUCUUUUGCCGGGGAGCAAGGGCGGGGACGUGUCCCGGCCCGGAGAGUACCCGGAGAAAAAGCAUCGGCUAACUCCGUGCCAGCAGCCGCGGUAAUACGGAGGAUGCGAGCGUUAUCCGGAUUUAUUGGGUUUAAAGGGUGCGUAGGCGGGCUUUUAAGUCAGCGGGAAAAAUUCGGGGCUCAACCCCGUCACGCCGUUGAAACUGGGGG
rnacentral:rRNA from 1 species